CUAGGCUGAUUCAGCGGUUAGAUAGAAGGUCUGAAAAUCCUCGUGUCACCAGUUCAAGUCUGGUUCCUGGCA
rnacentral:tRNA from 1 species